UCUUAUGGAUGAGCAAAGAAAGUGGUUUCUCCAGAUGGAAUCUACUCUUGGUGAAAAUGCUGUGAG
rnacentral:pre_miRNA from 1 species